AACGCUGAUUUGUGGGUAGCAAUAUUCGCAAGUCGGAGUGGCGCAAGGGUGUGUAACACGUGGGUAAUCUGCCGUGAAGUCUGGGAUAACUUGCUGAAAGGCGAGCUAAUACCGGAUGUGAACGCAAGUUCAAAGUUGGGGACCGUAAGGCCUGACGCUUCACGAUGAGCCCGCGGCCUAUCAGCUAGUUGGUGAGGUAACGGCUCACCAAGGCUAAGACGGGUAGCUGGUCUGAGAGGACGACCAGCCACACUGGAACUGAGACACGGUCCAGACGCCUACGGGUGGCAGCAGUCGAGAAUUUUUCUCAAUGGGCGAAAGCCUGAAGGAGCGACGCCGCGUGGGGGAUGAAUGGCUUCGGCCCGUAAACCCCUGUCAUUUGUGAACAAAUUGUUUCACCUAACACGUGAAGCAUUGAUUGUAGCGGAAGAGGAAGGGACGGCUAACUCUGUGCCAGCAGCCGCGGUAAUACAGAGGUCCCAAGCGUUGUUCGGAUUCACUGGGCGUAAAGGGUGCGUAGGCGGCCAGGUAAGUUUGAUGUGAAAUCCCGCAGCUCA
rnacentral:rRNA from 1 species